rnacentral:tRNA from 1 species
CCUUCGAUAGCUCAGUUGGUAGAGCGGUGGACUGUAGAGGUUUAUAUACGUAACAUUGUCAUCCAUAGGUCGCUGGUUCAAAUCCGGCUCGAAGGA